rnacentral:misc_RNA from 1 species
GCAUUUUUGUGCGAGACAAACCUGAAGCAAAAUAAUGACAUUACUGUGCCAGUCAAAUUUAAUCCAAAAUACUACACUUUGAAGACGUUUACCGUAGAAGUUACAGACUAUGGCUGACAUUAAUGGUGAAAUGCACCAAGUUCAAGGAAAUCAAAGUGCAGGGUACAAAGGCUGACUAGCAAGAUUACCUAACAAGCUAAUGUGCCAUAAUAUCAUUCAUUG